rnacentral:hammerhead_ribozyme from 1 species
AAGCGAAACGGGGGUGACGCCCCGUUGCCGGAGGGGUGGUGCCCCCGGCCUGACGAGCAGCCAUGC